rnacentral:rRNA from 1 species
AAACACAAAGGUUUGGUCCUAGCCUUCCUACUAGUCCUUAGUAAGCUUACACAUGCAAGCCUCCACGCCCCAGUGAGAAUGCCCUCAAAAUCACUAAGGAUUUAAAGGAGCUGGUAUCAAGCACACUCACACCAAGUAGCUCACACCACCUUGCUAAGCCACACCCCCACGGGAUACAGCAGUGAUAAAAAUUAGGCCAUGAACGAAAGUUCAACUAAGCUAUACUAAAGAGGGUUGGUAAAUUUCGUGCCAGCCACCGCGGUCAUACGAUUAACCCAAACUAAUAGGCCCUCGGCGUAAAGCGUGGUUAAGAUAAUACCGUACUAAAGUUAAAACUUAACUAAGCCGUAAAAAGCUACAGUUACCGUAAAAUAUACUACGAAAGUGACUUUAAAACUUCUGACUACACGAUAGCUAAGAUCCAAACUGGGAUUAGAUACCCCACUAUGCUUAGCCCUAAACAUAAGCUAUUCUAUAACAAAAUAAUUCGCCAGAGAACUACUAGCAACAGCUUAAAACUCAAAGGACUUGGCGGUGCUUUAUACCCCUCUAGAGGAGCCUGUUCUAUAAUCGAUUAAAAAAAAAAAACAAAAACGAUAAACCUCACCAUCUCUUGCUAAUGCAGUCUAUAUACCACCAUCUUCAGCAAACCCUUUAAAGGAAGAGUAGUAAGCAUAAAAAAGUUAGGUCAAGGUGUAACUCAUGAGAUGGGGAGAAAUGGGCUACAUUUUCUACUUUAAGAACAUCUUAUGAAAGUUUUUGUGAAAUUAAAAACCGAAGGAGGAUUUAGCAGCAAAUUAAGAAUAGAGAGCUUAAUUGAAUAGGGCCAUGAGGCACGCACACACCACCCGUCACCUUCCUCAAGUAAAAACUUCACACAUAAUCAUAUUAACUAUACCAAAACACGAGAGGAGAUAAGUCGUAACAAGGUAAGCAUACCGGAAGGUGUGCUUGGAUUAACCAAAGU